UAGGGAAUCUUCCACAAUGGACGCAAGUCUGAUGGAGCAACGCCGCGUGAGUGAAGAAGGUUUUCGGAUCGUAAAGCUCUGUUGUUGGUGAAGAAGGAUAGAGGCAGUAACUGGUCUUUAUUUGACGGUAAUCAACCAGAAAGUCACGGCUAACUACGUGCCAGCAGCCGCGGUAAUACGUAGGUGGCAAGCGUUGUCCGGAUUUAUUGGGCGUAAAGCGAGCGCAGGCGGAAUGAUAAGUCUGAUGUGAAAGCCCACGGCUCAACCGUGGAACUGCAUCGGAAACUGUCAUUCUUGAGUGCAGAAGAGGAGAGUGGAACUCCAUGUGUAGCGGUGGAAUGCGUAGAUAUAUGGAAGAACACCAGUGGCGAAGGCGGCUCUCCGGUCUGCAACUGACGCUGAGGCUCGAAAGCAUGGGUAGCGAACAGGAUUAGAUACCCUGGUAGUCCAUGCCGUAAACGAUGAGCGCUAGGUGUUGGGGACUUUCCGGUUCUCAGUGCCGCAGCAAACGCAUUAAGCGCUCCGCCUGGGGAGUACGACCGCAAGGUUGAAAC
rnacentral:rRNA from 1 species